AUUUGGGAGGGGUCUCUUUCUGGAGAUCCUUUCUUUUAGAAUUUUCUGCUGCGAGCCUAGGACAUGAUAAAAGAGUAUUGAGGUGUCUAGAUGAUCACUCGGUCCUGGAAAUUUGACAUAUGAAGACAAUGCCAGGAUGAAGAUUUCUAUUUUGGACAUAAGGAUCUCUCCUCCUGUGGGAUUCUCAAGCAAAGACCACUGCCUGUUGUACCACCUGCUGGAUUGAGCUGCUCUAGGGCAUCAUAUACAAAAGUUUUCUUUUCUGCAGUUCUACUUUAAGUCUGGUGUAGUGUAUAUAUUCCCACAAGGCAGCAAAAUUGUGUGUAAUUAUGGGUAAGCAACAUUUUACUUUAUGCAAAGACGAUUAGCCAGGUUGUUCCAGGAAGCAAUCUUUGUAGCCCAGGUGUGGCACAUGAAUAAAUUUUCCCCAAAUCCCAGGCAUGUGAUGUUUCCUGCAUUCAUGCAAGAUAUCCUGCAUUUCUUUCACUGGAAUGCUGAGUCACAUCUUCAGACAUCACUGUCACCAACCAAUGUAAAAAUGGCCUGAAAAAAUAGCUGAAGAUUACACAACGCAGCUGUUUCCCUAUACCAGAUGUUACAGAUCUGCAAAAUGUCUGAAUUUCCCAAUUUUGAAUCCAAAAUUCAUCCCUGGAAAUGCUUCAGGAGUUGUACGUUUUACAGUGAUAGAGAGAAGCAUGGUGACAAGACUGUUUGAGUCAUUUGUAAGGUCAGCUUUGAGUUCACCCUUGAGUUGUGAUUCUGUUAAAAUAACAAGCAAAGAUUUUGGAGUUGAUCACUCUGUUACAUUUUUGUUUUAGUUGUAAAUAAUGUGGCAUUUUUU